UACGGGGGGGGCAAGCGUUGUUCGGAAUUACUGGGCGUAAAGGGCUCGUAGGCGGCCAACUAAGUCAUACGUGAAAUCCCUCAGCUUAACUGGGGAACUGCGUGUGAUACUGGAUGGCUUGGAUUUGGGAGAGGGAUGCGGAAUUCCAGGUGUAGCGGUGAAAUGCGUAGAUAUCUGGAGGAACACCGGUGGCGAAGGCGGCAUCCUGGACCGACACUGACGCUGAGGCGCGAAAGCCAGGGGAGCAAACGGG
rnacentral:rRNA from 1 species